rnacentral:rRNA from 1 species
AGAGUUUGAUCAUGGCUCAGGAUGAACGCUAGCUACAGGCUUAACACAUGCAAGUCGAGGGGAAACGAUAUUGGAGGCUUGCUUCCGAUAGGCGUCGACCGGCGCACGGGUGAGUAACGCGUAUCCAACCUGCCCACCACUUGGGGAUAACCUUGCGAAAGUAAGACUAAUACCCAAUGAUAUCUCUAGAAGACAUCUGAAAGAGAUUAAAGAUUUAUCGGUGAUGGAUGGGGAUGCGUCUGAUUAGCUUGUUGGCGGGUAACGGCCACCAAGGCGACGAUCAGUAGGGGCUCUGAGAGGAAGGUCCCCCANAUUGGAACUGAGACCACGGUCCAAACUCCGUACGGGAGCA